rnacentral:rRNA from 1 species
AUGGUUCUCUUUUUUGAAGGAUUGAUUAGUGGUUCUUGCCUUCUUGUUACGUGCAGCGGAUGGGAAGCUGAUGAACUGCAGCUGCAUGCGCACAACACUUGCAUCAUUGAGAUACUAUGCUUGGACUCAAAGUGCAAUGGAGUACUGGGAGAAGGACAAGUAGCUCCAUGGUAUACUUUUGAAGGGCGGAUAUUUUUUUCCAGAAAAGGCGGAAGACUUGCGCUUCAUUAUAUCAUAAGAAGCGAGAAGACAGAGUGUGAUAAUUACAAGAGACCUGACCCUAUCAGAAAUUUGUGGAUAUUUAAGUUGAAGGGCCACCAUCUUACUCACACAGGUCAAAAGGAUUUUGUUUGCCCACAUCCAGAUGAACUGGUAUGCCAAUUCUAUCACUGA